rnacentral:rRNA from 1 species
UACGUAGGGGGGCAAGCGUUGUCCGGAAUUAUUGGGCGUAAAGGGCGCGUAGGCGGCCUACUAAGUCGGACGUGAAAUCCCUCGGCUCAACCGAGGAACUGCGUCCGAUACUGGCAGGCUGGAAUCCGGGGAGAAGGGAUGUGGAAGUUACCUACGGUGAGUAGCGGUGAAAUGCGUAGAUAUCUGGAGGAACACCGGUGGCGAAGGCGGCAUCCUGGACCGGUAUUGACGCUGAGGCGCGAAAGCUAGGGGAGCAAACGGGG